CAGGUCUCAACAAUUGUUUCCUUAUUAUACCAUUCAGACUGAAACUGUCCUCAUUUAGAAAAAAUUGGAAGGAAAUCUGUAUUUGUGGCCUUCAGACAACAGGUAGCUGCCACUCUCUGUGAUUAGGAUUCUAUUCACUGAUGCCUUUCUGCAGCAUCACUGCACCUACAUGUUUGUCCACAAGAGAAACUGUGAACUGAAAAAGAAGAAAAUGAAGACAGAAAAAAA
rnacentral:lncRNA from 1 species